CGGGGAGCACCACAACAGGUGGAGCCUGCGGUUUAAUCGGACUCAACGCCGGGAAACUCACCAGAUAAGACAGCUGAAUGAUAGUCGGGCUGAAGACUCUACUUGACUAGCUGAGAGGAGGUGCAUGGCCGUCGUCAGUUCGUACUGUGAAGCAUCCUGUUAAGUCAGGCAACGAGCGAGACCCACGCCAACAGUUGCCAGCUCGUCCUCCGGGAUGGUGGGGACACUGUUGGGACCGCCUCUGCUAAAGAGGAGGAAGGAAUGGGCAACGGUAGGUCAGCAUGCCCCGAAUUAUCUGGGCUACACGCGGGCUACAAUGGGUGGGACAAUGGGUAUCGACACCGAAAGGUGAAGGCAAUCUCCUAAACCCAUCCGUAGUUCGGAUUGUGGGCUGCAACUCGCCCACAUGAAGCUGGAAUCUGUAGUAAUCGUGUCUCAAAAUGGCACGGUGAAUAUGUCCCUGCUUCUU
rnacentral:rRNA from 1 species